GAUUUCUGGUAUGGCGCACUUGGCCCGCUUCGGCUACGAGGUAGAGUGCCGGUGUGCGCCUGCCAUCCUUCUAGGGUACGACCUCUCCCUUAACUGGGUUGAAGCCGGAACCUAGAUCAUUUACUUUGAAAAAAUUAGAGUGUUUAAAGCAGGCUUACGCUAUGAAUACAUUAGCAUGGAAUAAUAAUUUAGGACUUUGGUCUUAUUUUGUUGGUUUCUAGGACUAAAGUAAUGAUUGAUAGGGAUAGUUGGGGGUGCUAGUAUUCAGCGGCCAGAGGUGAAAUUCUUGGAUUCGCUGAAGACUAACUUAUGCGAAAGCAUU
rnacentral:rRNA from 1 species